rnacentral:rRNA from 1 species
CCUANGGGUGGCAGCAGUUUGGAAUUUUGGACAAUGGGCGAAAGCCUGAUCCAGCGACGCCGCGUGGACGAUGAAGGUCUUCGGAUCGUAAAGUCCUUUUGCUCGGGAACAAUUUUUGAGCGUACCGAGAGAAUAAGAGGUUGCUAACUCUGUGCCAGCAGCAGCGGUAAUACAGAGACCUCAAGCGUUAUCCGGAAUCAUUGGGCGUAAAGCGUACCGAUAGGUGGUUUUACAAGUCAGAAGUGAAAUCUUAAGGCUCAACCUUGAGACUGUCUUUUGAAACUGUAAAACUAGAGGGACAAAGAGGAAGCUGGAACGAACGGUGUAGUAGUGAAAUGCGUUGAUAUCGUUCGGAACACCAAUAGCGUAGGCAGGCUUCUGGGUGUCACCUGACACUGCUAGGACGAAAGCGUGGGGAGCGAAUGGGAUUAGAUACCCGUNUANUC